rnacentral:lncRNA from 1 species
GUAGCGCCGUGACGGCUAGAACAAGUGGAAGUUUUAGGUUAUUACAUUUCAUGCCCUCUCAUACAGUCCUCACAAGUAUUAAUACGGUAGCUACUCACUAGUUCACCCAGUUGGACCCGAAUACGCGCAUAUUCUGCUUCCUGGGCCUUUUACUGUCUUGGCGUAGCCCGCUUGGCACUUCUCCAGCUUCACCAUCUUCAGCUGAUUCACUGAUGUGGCUAACAUUCCUCCCUCCUAAAAAUGCUGGUUGUCCCCAAACAGCUGCACGAGGAAACUGCUGACGAAGAUCCUCAACAUCCUCCCAAGUGGCAAGUUCCUCAGGCAUGUGAGUCCACUUGACCAAAAUUUGAGCACCAGGAUUGACACCAUUCAUCACAGUUCGGCGCUGCAAUAUUGUUUCUGGCACACUGAAUGAAUAGUUGGUCGUUGGUAGAGUUGGGGAAGCCACCAAACCGGCACCCAAUGCCCUUUUAAGUUGAGAAACAUGGAAAACCGGAUGAAUCUUGGAUGUGUCUGGCAACAAUAAUUUAUACGCCACUGAACCAAUGCGUUGCACCACACGGUAAGGACCAAAGAAUUUGAAAGCCAAUUUCUGGUGAGCUCGCGAAGCCACCGAAGAUUGCACAUAUGGCUGCAAUUUCAGAAAAACUAAAUCCCCCACAUCAAACACGCGCUCAGAACGCCCUUUGUCCGCUUGCCGUUUCAUGCGCAGUUUAGCUCGCUCCAAAUGCUGGCGAACCAAGUUGGCCAUUAAUUGUCGCUCCUGCAACCACGAAGAGAGGUCGGCUGAACUGAUCACAGCAUCGUCUCCAAUACCAAACUGGCGUGGCUGACAGCCAUACAUGAGUUCAAAUGGUGUAUGUCCAGUAGCGGAAUGAGGUGAAGAGUUAAACCAAAACUGCGCCACCGGUAACCACUGACUCCAUUGGUGAGGACAAGCAUGAACGAAACAACGCAAGAAUGUUUCCAAACUUUGAUUUACACGCUCCGUUUGGCCAUCGGACUGUGGAUGAUAAGAUGAGCUCAUGCGCAACUGAACAUCUGCCAAACGAAACAACUCCCGCCAUAAUUGACUCACAAAUAUUUUGUCCCGAUCAGAAAUGAUGGAUUUGGGCAGCCCAUGGUGUUUGUAUACCUGGUCAUGAAACAGCCGAGCAACAGAUAGGGCAGUAAAUGGAUGUUUGAGGGGUAAAAAAUUUGCAUAUUUGGUGAAGGUGUCCACAAUAACCAAAAUGCAUGUAAAUGACUGGGAACGUGGUAGGGCUUCGAUAAAAUCCAUAGAAAUCAUUUCCCAUAAAGUUGUAGGUACCGGAAGUGGUUGUAGAAGUCCUGGCAAACGUGCCCGGUCUGCUUUGGCCUGUUGGCAUAUACGACAGUGGCACACAAACUCAUAAACUGAUUUCUUCAUACCCUUCCAAGCGAACAAUUGUUUCAAUCGUGCAUAAGUAACUGGAAUGCCUGAAUGACCACCCACUGCAGACUCAUGAAAAGCUGAUAAUAACCUUUGUUGCAGUGCCAGAGACUGUCCCACCCAAAUUCGGUUUUUAUAGCGAAGAAUUCCAUUGUGCCAUGAAUAAGAUGGUACUGCUUUAGCAUCAAUGGCUAACUUGGCAAUUAUAGAUGAAGCCAUAUCAUCCUGUUGAUAAGAAGCAGCAAUAUCUGUUAUCCAUUGUGGAGUGCAGGUAGACAAUGCUGAACAGGAGAGCUGAACCUCCGGAUGUCGAGACAAAGCAUCAGCUGCACUAUUUUCGACCCCUUUCUUGUAUAUAAUUUUGUACUGCAAUCCCAAUAAGCGAGUAAACAUUUUCUGUUGCCAUGGAGUGUGCAAACGCUGCUCAUCCAAUUGAACCAAGCUGCGAUGAUCCGUGUAAAUGUGAAACUCCUUCAACUGCAAAUAAUGACGCCAAUGAUCUACAGCAACCAGAAUUGCCAGAUAUUCUUUCUCAUAGGUGGACAACCCUUGAGAUUUAGUUCCCAAAGCCUUGCUCAAAUAAGCUAUUGGGUGCCCAGACUGCAUUAACACAGCACCCACUCCCAAGGCACUUGCAUCUGUCUCGAGACAAAAGGUUAAUGAGAAAUUGGGCAAGGCAAGCACUGGAGCGGUGACAAGAGACUGCUUCAAAGCCUGAAAUGCUUCCUCAUGAGCAUUGGUCCAGACAUACAAGACCCCUUUCUUAAGUAGUGUUGUUAAGGGCUUAGCGAUGAGGCCAAAAUGCUUCACAAAUCGACGGUAGUACCCUGCCAACCCCAAGAAACUACGAAGCUCCUUCACUGAUGUGGGCGAUGUCCAGGCUGCCACCGCCUGUAUCUUGGCCGGGUCAGUUGCCACCCCAGAUGCUGAAAUGAGAUGACCCAAGUAGGACAGCUGUGACUUAGCAAAAGAACACUUGGACAGUUUCAGUUGCCAUUGAUCCCGGGCCAACAGUUCCAAUACUGCCCGAAUGUGUUGCACAUGCUCUUCAAAUGUGGUGCUAUAAAUCAAUAUAUCGUCGAAGAAUACGAGCACACAACGACGAAGCAAGGGAGCCAAGGUGGCAUUCAUUGCUCGUUGAAAAGUUGCAGGAGCUCCUGUCAAUCCAAAAGCCAUCACACGAAACUCAUAGUGGCCCGAGUGUGUCUGAAAAGCUGUCUUGUGAGUGUCUUCAGGUUGUAGCAGUAUCUGAUGAUACCCUGCUGUGAGAUCUAGACUAGUAAACCAGGACGCUUGGACCAACUCAUCUAAAAGCUCUUCAAUGACAGGUACCGGAUAAUUAGACUUUACUGUAAUUGCAUUCAAGUGUCUGAAAUCAACACAGAAUCGCCAUGAUUGAUCCUUCUUUUUGACCAAAAGUACUGACGAGGAGUAGGGACUGUCACUAUGUUGGAUAAUGCAUGUUUGCAGCAUAACAGAAACUUGACGUUCAAUUUCGUCCUUGAUGGCUGGUGGAUAACGGUAUGGUCGUACCUUCACUGGAGAAGCUCCACUAAUGAGAGGAAUAGCAUGGUUACAAUUACGUGAAGGUGGCAGUCCUGUUGGAGGAUCAAACAACAAGGCAAAUUCAGCUAACAACGUAGACAGCGGUUCUGGCAGCUGCAAAUCCAACAGUGAUGGAGGAACAGACUGCAAUGUAGUAACUUCAACUACGGAUCCGGCUGGACACACAGCAGAUAUUCCAUAUAAUAAAACAGUUGCUGAUCGAUAAGGAAUGACCAUCCACUUUUCGAGCCAAUGGAUCUUCAUCGGGCUAUGCUGCGAAAGCCAAUCCAUCCCAAUAAUCAUACCAUAAGAAGAUAGGGCCAAAAGACGAAAAUCAGUGGCAAAGGAACACUGCUGCACCGUCCAAUGCGCGCCCAAUAAUUGACGAGAACAUGACAAUCUGCCCCCAUCGGCUACUUGCACUUGAACAGGAGUUGUCAUUGGUGUAAUUCCUGACAAUUGAUCAGCCACUGUCGUCGACAAGAAAGAAUGGGAACUUCCGGAAUCCACCAAAAUCAACACCUCCACACCUUGAAUACAGCCGUGAAACUUCAUAGUAUUAACUGAUUCUCCUCCUGAAACAGCAGCCACAGACAACAUCACAAAAACUUGUUCAGACACAGUUGGCUCCAUAACAGUAUCUGCAGGUGCAGCCUCUUCCUCAUCGAUAUGGAGGUCUAGAACUUCUUGAAGCACGUGAAGCUGUACUGAAGAAGGACACUGAUGGUCGCGCGACCAUUUUUCAGCACACCGAUGACAGAGACCGCGAGCCCGUCGAUACGCACGAAGCGCAGCCAAUUUAUCGUCAACAGCUCGAGGACGAGGAAGAUCCGUCCGAUUGCCAGUCACCACCGGACCCACCAGCUUCUCAGUAUUAUGUGGCACAGGAAUUCUGCUUGACAUGGAAAACUCCAAUCGGCGUCCAUCCACGCGUUUGGGCGCCGACGACACCUCUUCCUGCAACAAGGCCAACACACAGGCAGAAUCCAAGGAAGUAGGGCGCUGGACAAACACAGCAGCACGGAUCUCAUCAUGCAAACCAUCCACAAAACGUUGAACAAAAUACAAGGGAUCCAGAGGACGUCCAUAAGCUACCAAAUUAUCCACCAAAUUUGAAAAUCUUUCAACAUAUUCUGCCACUGUAGAUGUUUGUUUAAUUCGAAACAAACGACGAAUAAAAACUUCAUGCUCAUCCUUGCCAAAGCGCUCUAACAAUUCCUGACAGAAAACUGGCCAAGUAGAUCCGCGACACUCGUCAGCUCUAGAAGAAAACCAACGAGCAGCCGCCCCCGUCAGAUGCAUAGUAGCAACCUUAAUCCACAUGUGUGGAUCCACCGAGUACAUAUCAAAAUAAUCCUGACUACGCCUGAUCCACAACUUCGGAUUAUCCCCAUCAAAUACUGGAAAAUUCAGCUGCGGCAACCGACCCCGCAUAGCACCACACAUACCCAUAUCACUCAGUUGUCCCGUAUUUUCCGGAAAACAGCCAUCACGCACAGAAGGCACAAAUUGAAGAGCAGCAGAUGAACACAUACCCUUUGCCGGGGAAUGGAGAAGGGUCGUGACGGACCCAAAACCAUUCUCCCGUGUACUUGAGUCGAGGCGGAGCCCAUGGGGCGAGACGGCUGGAGAUCCAGCAGAUAGACGCACGGCAGGCGUUGGAGAAGGCGCGAGGACGCCCGCGAGCGUAGCCGGCUUCUCCACCAGCGUGCGCUCGCAGUGUUUGGCUACUUUGCCAACCUCCAUGCGUAGGUCGUCCACCACACCUUCGAUACUCAUCUUCCAUUCUUCCAACGCUCCCGUGGCUUGCUCCAGAGUACGAACGCGCGCGUCCUGAGCAGCCGUGUGGCUCGAUAAGACGGCUUCCCAGCGACUUUCCUGAUCGGCGGUGCGACGAUCCCACUUGGCAUCCUGCUCCGCAAAUCGUCGGGACAUCUCAUCCAGAAUGAUUUGAGUAUCCGGAUUCACCAUGACUUGACGGCGACGAAAACAGGUGUCGUAGUCGUGGUUGGGCAGAGGAUCCAGAUCGGCGAACUCCACAGAGACCAGAACAACUGAAUCUGAUACCAAUUGUUAACAGAUUACUAGUGGAAUGUAUUAGAGAAGAGGAAGAAACAGAGGAACAGAGAGAUGCGGCAGAGAACUGGUAGCGCCGUGACGGCUAGAACAAGUGGAAGUUUUAGGUUAUUACAUUUCAUGCCCUCUCAUACAGUCCUCACAAGUAUUAAUACGGUAGCUGCUCACUAGUUCACCCAGUUGGGCCCGAAUACGCGCAUAUUCUGCUUCCUGGGCCUUUUACUGUCUUGGCGUAGCCCGCCUGGCACUUCUCCAGCUUCACCAUCUUCAGCUGAUUCACUGAUGUGGCUA